rnacentral:rRNA from 1 species
AAAGCUCAAAUUUGAAAUCUGGUGGCUCUUGGCCGCCCGAGUUGUAGUCUGGAGAAGCGUCUUCCGCGCUGGACCGUGUUUAAGUGCCUUGGAACAGGACGUCAUAGAGGGUGAGAAUCCCGUCUUUGACACGGACUCCCAGUGCUCUGCGAUGCGCUCUCGAAGAGUCGAGUUGUUUGGGAAUGCAGCUCAAAACGGGUGGUAAAUUCCAUCUAAAGCUAAAUACUGGCGAGAGACCGAUAGCGAA